GGAGGGAUCAUUACCGAGUUUACAACUCCCAAACCCCUGUGAACAUACCACUUGUUGCCUCGGCGGAUCAGCCCGCUCCCGGUAAAACGGGACGGCCCGCCAGAGGACCCCUAAACUCUGUUUCUAUAUGUAACUUCUGAGUAAAACCAUAAAUAAAUCAAAACUUUCAACAACGGAUCUCUUGGUUCUGGCAUCGAUGAAGAACGCAGCAAAAUGCGAUAAGUAAUGUGAAUUGCAGAAUUCAGUGAAUCAUCGAAUCUUUGAACGCACAUUGCGCCCGCCAGUAUUCUGGCGGGCAUGCCUGUUCGAGCGUCAUUUCAACCCUCAAGCACAGCUUGGUGUUGGGACUCGCGUUAAUUCGCGUUCCCCAAAUUGAUUGGCGGUCACGUCGAGCUUCCAUAGCGUAGUAGUAAAACCCUCGUUACUGGUAAUCGUCGCGGCCACGCCGUUAAACCCCAACUUCUGAAUGUUGACCUCGGAUCAGGUAGGAAUACCCGCUGAACUUAAGCAUAU
rnacentral:misc_RNA from 1 species